UACGAGGGGGGCAAGCGUUGUCCGGAAUUAUUGGGCGUAAAGCGCGUGUAGGCGGCCAGAAAAGUCCGCUGUGAAAACUCGAGGCUCAACCUCGAGCUGUCGGUGGAAACUUUCUGGCUAGAGUCCGGAAGAGGAGAAUGGAAUUCCUGGUGUAGCGGUGAAAUGCGCAGAUAUCAGGAAGAACACCCGUGGCGAAGGCGGUUCUCUGGGACGGUACUGACGCUGAGACGCGAAAGCGUGGGGAGCGAACAGG
rnacentral:rRNA from 1 species